AGUGAACGCUGGCGGUAGGCCUAACACAUGCAAGUCGAACGGCAGCACAGUAAGAGCUUGCUCUUACGGGUGGCGAGUGGCGGACGGGUGAGGAAUACAUCGGAAUCUACUUUUUCGUGGGGGAUAACGUAGGGAAACUUAUGCUAAUACCGCAUACGACCUACGGGUGAAAGUAGGGGAUGUUCGGACCUUGCGCGAUUGAAUGAGCCGAUGUCGGAUUAGCUAGUUGGCGGGGUAAAGGCCCACCAAGGCGACGAUCCGUAGCUGGUCUGAGAGGAUGAUCAGCCACACUGGAACUGAGACACGGUCCAGACUCCUACGGGAGGCAGCAGUGGGGAAUAUUGGACAAUGGGCGCAAGCCUGAUCCAGCCAUACCGCGUGGGUGAAGAAGGCCUUCGGGUUGUAAAGCCCUUUUGUUGGGAAAGAAAAGCAGCAGGUUAAUACCCCGCUGUUCUGACGGUACCCAAAGAAUAAGCACCGGCUAACUUCGUG
rnacentral:rRNA from 1 species